rnacentral:rRNA from 1 species
UACGGAAGGCAGCAGUGGGGAAUAUUGCACAAUGGGCGAAAGCCUGAUGCAGCUAUGCCGCGUGUAUGAAGAAGGCCUUAGGGUUGUAAAGUACUUUCAUCGGGGAGGAAAAAACAAAACUAAUAAUUUUAUUUCUUGACGUUACCCGAAAAAGAAGCACCGGCUAACUCCGUGCCAGCAGCCGCGGUAAUACGGAGGGUGCUAGCGUUAAUCAGAAUUACUGGGCGUAAAGAGCACGUAGGUGGUUUUUUUAAGUCAGAUGUGAAAUCCCUGGGCUUAACCUGGAACUGCAUUUUGAAACUGAAAUACUAGAGUAUCGUAGAGGGAGGUAGAAUUCUAGGUGUAGCGGUGAAAUGCGUAGAUAUCUGGAGGAAUACCUGUGGCGAAAGCGGCCUCCUAAACGAAUACUGACACUGAGGGUGCGAAAGCGUGGGGAGCGAAACAGGGAUUAGAUACC